rnacentral:rRNA from 1 species
AUACUAAGGGUGCAAGCGUUAAUCGGAAUUACUGGGCGUAAAGCGCACGUAGGCGGUUUAUUAAGUCAGAUGUGAAAGCCCUGGGCUUAACCUGGGAACUGCAUUUGAGACUGGUAGGCUAGAGUAUGGUAGAGGAUAGUGGAAUUCCGGGUGUAGCGGUGAAAUGCGUAGAUAUCCGGAGGAACAUCAGUGGCGAAGGCGGCUAUCUGGACCAAUACUGACGCUGAGGUGCGAAAGCGUGGGGAGCAAACAGGAUUAGAAACCCCAGUAGUCC